CCCGAGCCCGCGGGUCCCUUCGUUCCGCUUCUGCCGGCCCCGAGGGCAGCUUCGCGGGAGCUGCCCUGCCUGCUGUGUUCUUCCCUGCUCCGGAGCCGGGGGAGGGGGAAAGAGGCUGCUACGCGAACGAUGGGGUGGGAGCAGCAGAGGUAUGUGUCAUCCACCUGCUGACAUGGUCUGCAAAAGAAAACUUGUUCCGGAGACCUCAUCACCACUGAGAGAGACAAGCAUCCAUGCUGGCACCCAUAUCUCCUGGAUUUGGUCGUAAGUCAUGAAAUUUGUCUCACGAGGAUUAGAAACACUGCCAUCUGCAAUACAGACAUUUCUAUCAGCGGAUGUGACCAGGAAAACCUAGUGUUUCAAAGAAACUGAUGGGAGUGAAGAGAAAGUGCUUCCCAAGAGCUCUCUAAUGGGCCUAGGCAACGGUGUGAGCACAAUGUGGGUAUUCCUCUGCUUUCAGGAAGCAGGAAGCAUACUGACUGUCCUUCUUUCCCAUAUGCGUGUUCUAGCUCCAAUCUCAGAAUCAAAGGAUGGAGUUUUCACAGUGGGACUGUGCAAAGCAGGGGGGGGAGCAGCCCUGCUGUCAGCUGAGGCAAGCGGUCCUGGUGCAUCGCCUGUACUUGCCUUGCCACAGGCACGGCUGUUGCACACUGCACAGCAUCCUCUGGGCAGCAACACCAAAUCGGGGCUGUGAACAUCGGAUGAAGGGCUUCCGAUGGCAGAUGGCAGACUCUGAGCUGCGCACACUUUUAGAUUAGUGUAGUUUCAAAUCGUUUUAAUCUGCUUUGGUUCUCGUGGCUUGCCCAGGCUGCAAAAAGGUAUGAAAACGACAUAAAGGUAGCUGCCUGCACAUCUGGCGAGCACCAGCAUGCUACAGUGCAGGGGAGAGCUGGGAGUAGUUGGUGGAAAUUUAGCAGAAGAAAACAAUGACCGGUUGUCAAAAGGAAUGUCUUUACUAAGCAGUGUUCUAAUCACAGAAGGUGAUGAGACACCGCUUACACCAGGUGCUCUGGGUGAAAAGAAACAGUCCGAAUUGGCCGGACCCCUUUGUCAGCCCCCAGCCCCACGGUUCUGAGGCAGCCAUUUCAUUUCAGGCUGUGCAAGCCUGCAGCCCGAGGCCGGUCUCGUGACCGUUUCUGUCUCUAGCAGCCUGAUCCACUACAGCCCAUAUAAAUCAGUGGGAAUUAUUCUCGUGGAAAACUGGGGUCUUGGAAGAGGCCCUUGAAAUAUAGCAGAUAUAUCAGCGGCAGUGUUGGCACCGCAUAAAGGGCAGAGCGAAUAAUAAUAGCAACAAAGAACUCCCAGCAUCCAGAAAGUGCAGCAGAGGUCAGGCUCUGCAUGAAGACAGUUGUUAUGAGAGAUUUAAAUGUUUUGAAGGAAAGCACAGCAGGGCGGUCACGCAAGGAACUCUGCUGCAGCCACAGCCCCUGCUCCUGGGCACUGGCUGAGGCUGCUGCUGUGGGCAUUGCACCUGCCCCACUGUUCUCCAUUCAGACUGUGUUUCCAGGCUUGCUUUAUGCACUCCCCACAGCCCACAGCCCUGCUGCAGGUGCUUCAGUCUGUACUGAUGGGCUGUGAAAGCUGAAGCCUGCACGUAAGCAGCCUGUUCAAUGGGCCCCAGCAGCCUGUGCUCUACUUGAUCCUGCUCCUCUCCAGCAGCUGCCUCAGCCUAUUUUAGCUGGGUUUCCUGUGGCAAUUCAACCAGAACUUGGGAGUUGGAGCUGCAAGUUGCCACCAUCCAACCUCCCCCUCACGCUCUAAAGCCCCAUCCCAGUGGCAUGCCAGAACUUUCCCUGUGUUUGCUCAGCCCAGAGCAGAGGAGCUGAGGGGAGGCCUCAUGGCGGCUGCGGCUCCUCACAGAGAGUGGAGGGGCAGCGCUGAGCUCUGCUCUGUGUGACAGCGACAGGGCCCGAGGGAAUGGCAUGGAGCUGUGUCAGGGGAGGGGGGACAGGUUGGGGAUUGGGAACAGGUGCUUCAGCAGAGGGCGAUGGGCAUGGAACGGGCUGCCCAGGGCUGUGGGUACGGCCCUGAGUGCCAGAGUUCAGAAAGUAGACAGCACUCUCAGACAUUGGAUUUGGAUUUUGGGUGCUCCUGUGUGGAGCCAGGGGUUGGACUCAGUUAUUCUUAUAGGUAAUUUCCAACUUGGGAUAUUCUCUGUUUCUAUGAGCUCUCUCUCCAGAGCCUGGCCGUAUGCCCACUGGUCACCUUUAUUCUGCCUUUCCCCCAGAUCCUUCUGCAUUGCUCCGAGUAAGCCCAGGUGAACACAUUAACAUAGCUAUCUUCCCUGCACACUGGCUCUUUGGAAUCUGAACAGACUGCAAUGUUCUCAGAUGUGUCUGUGCUUCAGUGGAUUAUUUUUGAAUUUAUUCGACAAAUAAUUCCUGGUCUGUACCCUGACUCACUGAGUGCUGAACUUCUCUUAAGUAAUGCAUGCUAAUCAUCAUCUGUUCUGCAUUUUAUAGCUAGUGGUGGUGAAAGAUGAAAGCCCAGCAUUGCCUAUUAUACUGGGGCUACAGUCAGAUAUAAAAAAAAAAAGUCCUCCAAGAUGACAUCUGUUGUAGCCAAAGUUCAUAUAUUCCUUCAUGAAAAUUCAACUACAUUAAAAAAAGAGAGAGAGAGAGAUUUGCAAUAGAUGGAGGAUGAUUCAUGCUUAAAUACACAGCAGAAUGCCACUCACUCUUUCCCUUAGUCCUUGCUGCUUUGUGAGUCCAGCCAGGGAAGAACUGUGAUCAGUGCUAACAAAUGUACAUUUUCUCAUCUUGCCCUUCAGCAUUUCAUCAGAGGUAACACUAAAGUCUGGUGCUCUUUUGACAUCACACAAAUUGCAUUCUCUGUCUCUGUUCUCCUCUCCCAGCCUGUUUUAUCUUUCGGUGCUCAGCAGAUCUUCACAUGCAGCUAAAUGUUUAGCUGCAAAAAAUGAAGCGUAUGGAGGAUAUGCAUGAAUACAGAAAGUAGCAGGACUGUCACUGAAUGGUCCUUUUUGGAGAAAUUGGCCUCAUUUCAGUGGGUAGUGAACAGCUGCCUCCCAGCUGAGAUUUAUCAGCUAAAGGCAAGGCAACAACAAAUGUAGCAGAAGGAAGAGGGAGAGCUGUGAAAACUGGAGGGCUUCUUUCUGGCUGUGUUCUGGCAAUGACUUGGCAUUACGGACCAGACGAGGAUGCUCAGGCCCGUACAGCUAGCAGGCCUACUCACAGCAGCAUCGCCUGCUGCGAAGGGUUGACACUGCUGGUUCCAAGUAGUAAAAGAAGCAAAAGCUGAAACAUUGAGAUGAGUUCCCAGGCUGACUGAUGUCUGGCACAGUGUCCUG
ensembl:lncRNA